rnacentral:rRNA from 1 species
CAAUAGCGUAUAUUAAAGUUGUUGCGGUUAAAAAGCUCGUAGUUGGAUUUCUGCUGAGAACGACCGGUCCGCCCUUUGGGUGUGUAUCUGGCUCUUUCUUGGCAUCUUCUUGGUGAACGUUGCUGCACUUGACUGUGUGGAGCGCUACCCAGGACUUUUACUUUGAGGAAAUUAGAGUGUUUCAAGCAGGCAUACGCCUUGAAUACAUUAGCAUGGAAUAAUAAGAUAGGACCUCGGUUCUAUUUUGUUGGUUUCUAGAGCUGAGGUAAUGAUUAAUAGGGAUAGUUGGGGGCAUUCGUAUUUAACUGUCAGAGGUGGAAUUCUUGGAUUUGUUAAAGACGGACUACUGCGAAAGCAUUUGCCAAGGAUGUUUUCAUUGA